rnacentral:rRNA from 1 species
AAGGAAUUGACGGGGGCCCGCACAAGCGGCGGAGCAUGCGGAUUAAUUCGAUGCAACGCGAAGAACCUUACCAAGGCUUGACAUAUACGAGAACGGGCUAGAAAUAGUCAACUCCUUUGGACACUCGUAAACAGGUGGUGCAUGGUUGUCGUCAGCUCGUGUCGUGAGAUGUUGGGUUAAGUCCCGCAACGAGCGCAACCCUCGUUCUAUGUUGCCAGCACGUAAUGGUGGGAACUCAUAGGAGACUGCCGGGGUCAACUCGGAGGAAGGUGGGGAUGACGUCAAAUCAUCAUGCCCCUUAUGUCUUGGGCUUCACGCAUGCUACAAUGGCCGGUACAAAGGGCUGCAAUACCGUAAGGUGGAGCGAAUCCCAAAAAGCCGGUCUCAGUUCGGAUUGAGGUCUGCAACUCGACCUCAUGAAGUCGGAGUCGCUAGUAAUCGCAGAUCASCAACGCUGCGGUGAAUACGUUCCCGGGCCUUGUACACACYKCCCGUCAAGUCAUGAAAGUCGGUAACACCCGAAGCCGGU